UGGUACCGUCAUCAGACUGCAUUAUUUACACAGCCUUUAUUCUUUCCACCCGACAGAGCUUUACGAUCCGAAAACCUUCAUCACUCACACGGCGUCGCUGCGUCAGGGUUUCCCCCAUUGCGCAAUAUUCCCC
rnacentral:rRNA from 1 species